AUGGUUAAUGAAGGUAUUGUCUUGGGGCAUAAAAUUUCUGAAAGAGGUAUUGAAGUUGAUAAAGCUAAGGUUGAUGCUAUUGAAAAGAUGUCGUGUCCUAAGGACAUUAAAGGUAUAAGAAGUUUCCUUGGUCAUGCCAGAUUUUAUAGGAGGUUCAUCAAGGACUUCUCUAAAAUCUCUAGGCCUCGGACUAAUCUCUUACAAAAAGAUAUUCCUUUUGUCUUUGAUGAUGAUUCUGUAGAAGCAUUUGAAAUACUUAAGAAAGCUUUGAUUUCUGUACCUAUUGUUCAGCCACUUGAUUGGAAUUUACCCUUUGAAAUUAGGUGUGAUGCUAGUGAUUAUGCUGUAGGGGUUGUUCUAGGACAAAGAGUUGAUAAGAAAUUAAAUGUUAUCCAAUAUUCUAGUAAAACUCUAGACAGUGCCCAAAGAAACUAUGCUACUACUGAAAAAGAAUUUUUAGCAGUUGUAUUUGCUUGUGAUAAGUUCAGACCUUAUAUUGUUGAUUCUAAAGUAACUGUUCACACUGAUCAUGCUGCUAUUAAAUAUCUUAUGGAAAAGAAAGAUGCUAAACCUAGACUUAUUAGAUGGGUUCUCUUGCUAUAA
rnacentral:rRNA from 1 species